CAGUAUCUUCAGUCCGCUUCCUUCCGGGUGCCAUGGGAGAUGCAAAGCCAUCCAGGGAAUGAGUGGUGCUUUCACUGGGAUCUCAGCAGACCGAUGUGCUUUCCACUUCGUGCCAUUCCGUGGUGCAUGCCUGAACUCCUCUUUUAAACCAGAAACUUCUCCUUUUGCUAAUGGUCUUGUGAUGGAUGCUGUGUAAACUCUGGCAUCUGACACAGGC
rnacentral:lncRNA from 1 species